rnacentral:lncRNA from 1 species
CAUCCGCGUAAAAUCCGAACGGUUCAGAUCGAUUCCACCUCCACCUCCCUCAAUCAGCGCACGACCCGCACGGCCCACCCCCCUCCCUAUCGCUCUCCCACCACACCUGCGCCUCCGCCCUCCUCCGGAAUUCCGCUCCCGCACCUCCGCCAUCAGCGCUCCGCUCCGUAUCAGCCGCCGCGCCGUCCUCUGCAUCGCCUGUCUGCCACCGAUCCCCGCCGCCAGCUCGCCCUCCACGAUCCUCCGCCUCCCCGCUGCACGAGGUCCUCCCGUCGCCAGGUCGUCGCCGCCGUUCUGCUCCACCAAUCCCCGCCGCACGAGGUGCUCCCGUCACUAGGUAGCCACCGCACCAUCCUCUGCAUCGCCUGUCUCCACCGAUCCCCUUUGCAUCGCAGGGGUGAGCUGCAGCUAUGGAGUUCCUCGCCGGUGGGGGAGCAGCAGGUGAAUCCCGUGAGAGUUCAUCAGCUGGUGACCAGUCCGGAACUUGGCAUCGUGGAGUACAAUGAACGCGGGGUGCUCAGCGAAAUGUCCCGUCCGGCUCCUCACCUGCAAUGCAUGUGUUUUGGAGAGUGUUUAUGGAUUCUGGAUCUUAGACCCCCUCAACGACUUGGAUCAUCAGUAAAGCUUCAUCUUGAAGUCAUCAAGCAAGAAAAUCCUUGGCGGUUCUGGUCGCGUUGA